rnacentral:rRNA from 1 species
GACGAACGCUGGCGGCGUGCUUAACACAUGCAAGUCGAACGGAAAGGCCCUGCUUGCAGGGUACUCGAGUGGCGAACGGGUGAGUAACACGUGGGUGAUCUGCCCUGCACUUCGGGAUAAGCCUGGGAAACUGGGUCUAAUACCGGAUAGGAGCCAUUUUUAGUGUGAUGGUUGGAAAGUUUUUUCGGUGUAGGAUGAGCUCGCGGCCUAUCAGCUUGUUGGUGGGGUAAUGGCCUACCAAGGCGGCGACGGGUAGCCGGCCUGAGAGGGUGGACGGCCACAUUGGGACUGAGAUACGGCCCAGACUCCUACGGGAGGCAGCAGUGGGGAAUAUUGCACAAUGGGCGCAAGCCUGAUGCAGCGACGCCGCGUGGGGGAUGACGGCCUUCGGGUUGUUAACUGCUUUCGCUAGGGACGAAGCUUUUUGUGACGGUACCUAGAUAAGAAGCACCGGCUAACUACGUG